GACGUAGGGCGCGAGCGUUGUCCGGAUUUAUUGGGCGUAAAGAGCGUGUAGGCGGCCUGAAAGGUCAGCUGUGAAAACUCGAGGCUCAACCUCGAGACGUCGGUUGAAACCAUCUGGCUAGAGUCCGGAAGAGGAGUGUGGAAUUCCCGGUGUAGCGGUGAAAUGCGCAGAUAUCGGGAAGAACACCCGUGGCGAAGGCGGCACUCUGGGACGGUACUGACGCUGAGACGCGAAAGCGUGGGGAGCAAACAGG
rnacentral:rRNA from 1 species